rnacentral:rRNA from 1 species
GAUGAACGCUGGCGGCGUGCCUAAUACAUGCAAGUCGAGCGCAGCGGGGACGGGUGCGUAACACGUGGAUACCCUCCGUUAACUCUGGGAUAACUUCGGGAAACCGUUGCUAAACCGGCUACUUAUAGAUGGAUCCUGGCUGCAUUAGCUAGGUGGUAAGGUAACGGCUUACCAAGGCAACGAUGCAUAGCCGACCUGAGAGGGUGAUCGGCCACACUGGAACUGAGACACGGUCCAGACUCCUACGGGAGGCAGCAGUAGGGAAUCUUCGGCAAUGGGCGAAAGCCUGACGGAGCAACGCCGCGUGAGUGAAGAAGGUCUUCGGAUCGUAAAACUCUGUUGUUAGAGAAGCGGUACCUAACCAGAAAGCCACGGCUAACUACGUGCCAGCAGCCGCGGUAAUAC